GGAGAAAUGUGUGAUCGUGCAAUCCUAACAAGAUUAGGGUAUACUGUGCGACGAAGAAAGAUAUAUAAAUUAGUUCCAUUUUUUCACUGCUUCUUUUGCAAUCGUAUAUCAUCCUAAUUAGAUUCUGAACUUUGUUCCUAUAUUCCAUUUAAACAUCGAAAGAGAUAAAUAAACAUUUGCAAAUUCUGUUCAGUAAAUAAAACCACUAACGUGAUACCUGUUGAUUAAUUUCAGCAAUUUCUGUGGAGUCAAAUAAAUUUAUUUUUUAUUAAUAUUAUUCAGAAAAGGAUUGCUUUUGGCGCAACAUCAGGAAUCCUCAACCUUUCUGAGAAUUUCAAAGGGAUUCACUUACGUCUUAUUGUUACGUUCUAUUUAGUUACCGACGAGAAGGUAGCGUUAACUGACGUUUAAUGCAACUGGCAAUAAGUUCCAACUUUCGGCUAACUUGCUAUGUGCAGGAACACUGGCACGAGAGAGGAUUAAGGUUGUUCGAAAGUAAAUUAACAAUAUGUAAUGAUUUAUUCAAAUCUUACUCGAAUUCAAUAUUGACAAUUGAUUGACAGACUGACGGAUAUAAAAUUCUUCGGUUGACAAAAUGGUAAUUCUUCGUAUAACAAAAUGAUGAUUCUUCGGUUGACAAAAUGAUAACUAACUCGUCGAAUGGUAAUUAUUCGGUUGACGAGCGGUAAUUAAUUAUUGAUUUCUCUGAGUCACUACAUUUAUUUAUAUCUGUCAGAGAUGAAAAAACGUCGGGGUCUUCCUUUUGAAAAUGUUUGGGAAAAUCCCCAACGUUUGUUCAAACUGCCGACUUUGUUUACAAUUUAAAUUGUCUUACUAUCGUUAUAAAAAUAUAGUUAGGUAAAUAUAAAAACAUAGUUAGAUAAGUUUUCGCAAGAUAUAGCUUUUAGCAGGUUUAACUGCCUUUCUCUUCAAAUACUGUAAACACGAUUUCAAAUAAACGUUUUAAAUUACCUUGAUUUGAAAGAAAUUAUCAAUUUUACUUUCGCGCUACGGACGUGCGGGACGCGGGACGUGACGCUUAUACUAUUUUAUUCUUUUAAUACCUACCAAUAUUUACCAAUUUUCUCAAACUCUUCCGCCAUUUUUGAUAACUUAAACUAAUGAGAGUUGGAAAGUAUUUAAGGAUAUGGAUAAUGAGAAGGUUUUAAAAUAACUAGUGAUUAAACACUUUGUCCAUUUGCAAAAUAAGGUCGUUUUAUUCAAUCGAAUGUGCAAGUUUACAAUAAUCGUACAACUUUAUAUACAAUUCAUAAUUUUCUGUAUAAUAAUUUGUGUAACUGAGUAAUUUUAUUCAUAACGUUUCAUCGUCAUGGUAUCCUCGAAGGAAAGUGUUAAUUCUUUGUCUUUCAGGCGUUUCUUUUCGAUGUGUAAGAAUUCAAAUUAAAGCUUAAUUAAAUUUCAAAUCAUAUCGUAGGUAAUUAUAGAUAUCUCCGGACAGGGUUACGAAUAAAUAAUUGGUAUGUUCACAUGUAGGACAACCUUUAUUAUUUAAUACAGUACUAAUUAUAACAUAAUACUACGCAUUAUUACAAUAUUAGUAUUAUUAUAUUGGUUGUAAUCUGAGAUUUUCUUCUUAAUGGUGUUUUUUGCGGCGUGGGUGCGUGCGUGCCGUUGCGUGCAUGCGUGUACGCGCGCGCACUUGUGUGUACGUAUCUAUAUAUGAUAGUUUUCAUACAAAUAAACAAAUAAAUACAUACGUAUGUAUAAACUAUAUAUAUAUACAUAUACAUAUACAUAUUUAUUCGUUUAUUCGUAAUACCCCUACACUUAGUGCAUUACAUGUACACGUAUGUAUGUGUUUAUAUGUAUACAUAUAUGAUAUUUAUUAUACCCUUGUAUUAUUACGCGGUACAUGAAUUCAUAUCUUAUCUCUUAUAAUCUUAUAAAUCUAAUUCGAAUACAUAUAGUGUAUAUAGAUAUAUAUAUAGAUAUAUAUUUAUAUAUCAUCAGGAUGGUAUAAAUAAUAUUGUAUUUCAUAAAAGCACUUUUUGUUGCUUAUAAUAUUAUUGUUUUUUUUUCUUCUUUAAUUAUCGCAUCGCUUUUUCCCCCACAUAUUUCCCCUAACGCUCUUUCUUUCUUUCACUUCGUUUCUUUUUUUCUUCUACUAUACGCGACAUCCGUAAAGGAAUUUUCUUGCUUUCUUUUUUACAUUCUUAAAAGAGUUUUACGUCUCUCUUUUUUUCGGCUUUCUUACUAGCUUCGGAAGGAAAACUUAAGACACAUUACGAACUACAGAUAUCGAGAAUCUUCUUUUUUUCUUACAUCUUCUUCCUCGUCUUCUCCUUUUUCUUUAAAUACUAGACAAUCGUUUUCGCGUUGUAUGAUCGCUCCUUUCUCAUCGAUCUCUUUUGAAUAUCGGUCGAUAUCACGCAAACCCCCGUUCCCGCCCCUGUCCCCACCCUCGCCCGAGAUGUCGGUGAGAAAUUCCUUUCGUGCAGUUCGCUAGUUCUAGCCGUUGAUUUCUUUUUUUGCUUUUUAAUUUUUUUGUUAUUUUAUUCUUCGUUCAUUCGCUCGCACGCACACACACACAGACACACACACGUUACAGGCAGACGUGUGUGCGCGCGAGUCCAGCGCUAUGCAAGUGUGGUACUUUGGAAGACUAUCAUAUAACUCACAAUGUUCUCCUAAUCCAUGACCAUUUAUUCUAUUGCAUUUUUAGAAACGACCGCAUGCGUCAUAGGAAAAGUUUGUUGCAAUCGGACUGCGAAUAUUUAUAGAAAUUUGUAUUUCUAUAAGUAGAACGAAAGGAAUCUUGAUGAAUGGAACUGUAGGCGAAAAAUUGUUUCUAUUGUGAUAUUGUUACACCGUAGUGUAAUUUGUAUUGUAACGAUAACGUAUCCGGCAGAGACAAGCAAGUUAAGUGACUAUAAAUAAGCGUGUCUGUUCGAUGUUGGGUUGUUGGGACGUUUGAAAUAUGCGUUUCUCAGACACAUGUUAAAAGAUUUUCUGAAUUUUAUGAACUGUCAACUAACCAACUUGCCAUACGGACACAUGAAAAUCCGCAGUCUAAUUGCAACGUUUAAUACGAUAAAGGCGAUAAAAGGAGGAAAUGCGAUAACGUUGUGAAGAGUAAACCUAAACACUAUAGCGGAAAAAAGGAGAAGUGGUAGAGAUAAAGAAGCGGUAAGAAGAUACAAAAUGGACGAAAUAGAUUUGCACAAUAGAAGAAGUGAUCAAAGAGGUUAGAAGAAAAUUGUUUGCUACGUAUGACAUCCUUCCAGGACACUACACCGGCAUAGUAACGAGUACAGAGUGUCCUACAAGGUAUGGCAUAUGCGGCAAAUGAAAGAUAGGAAAUACGGUUUAAUUGAAACAAGAAAUACGAGCUUAUCGAUGCCCUUACCUAACCUCUACUAUUAUUAGUUUACUUUAUUUGCUUGCUCUUCUUUUUAUCGAAUCAGUUUUUAAUUUGCAAAAGUUUUGCUCCAUGUUCGAAUGGCCCGGGAGAAUUACACGCGUUUUCCAAUAAGUUACGCAGUUCUUUCGUUUUCGUUUUAUUUUACUUUUUUUUCAUUAUCUUUUUUCUAGCAAUUAAUUGUACCGCCAUUAAAAAAUAUCUGAUAUUUGUCUCUUAAUGAUUUAUAAACUUUAAACCAGAGAAUGCUCGUGUCACUUUAGAGUUAGUUUAUAGAAAUUACGUUCGCAUUUUUUUAUAUCCUUUGGAUAGAUAUUAAACACUUUUUUUUGUUCUCUCAGAUACAUCAUACCUUAUGAAACACAUUUAUGCUUUCGCCCUUACCCGCUUCAAUAAAUAUCUCCGUAUGUGUUACUCCCUCGCAAUCGUCCUCCUCAAUUGUUAUUUUUUUUUUAUUUAUUUUUCUUUUUUGUUUGGCUGGUCCACUAACAUUCCUAGAAAAAAUACUCUCUGCAGUCCUCUAUGUUUAUAAGCUAAGAUUUUUUUUUUGUUCCUCUAUUUUCUGUUUUUGGUUUCCCGUCGUUCUUCUAUUUCGUUUUCCUUCGUUCCUUCGUCAAAACUGUCCAUUCACUUAUCCCUCGUUUUAACUUUAUCUUUCCCCGAUUUUUAAUACUUUUAAGAACACCUUCUCCCCGUUCUCCGUCUUACGUACAUAUGAAACCUCGCAAUAGGUUCGUGCAAGCUACUUGCAACCACUUCAAACAAAGAACAUAACGCGAUUACGGUACCUGAAUUUUAAUCGCUACCGUGCGAUCGAAUCACAUUGAUCGUUCGUAUUUCCGCGAUUUACACACGCGAUACUGUGUAUGUAUAUUGACGGUCAUUAUACAUCGAUACGGCGAUUAUACAUCGUAAUCGAGAUACACGCGGUGAAAGGUUAACUAACCUCGUACACGAUUUGUCGUUCGACUAGUUUGCAAGAAAGCGAAGGGAGAAAAGCUUACAACUGAUGGUUAGUUUGAUUAUAAUAAGAUUACAAAUUAUCUAGUAUCACAAACAUCGUUAUAGAUCGCGAAAAUGCCCGUGGAUAAACGAAUCGAGCCGAUUGGAAGGAAAUAAUCCAAUUCGUCAAAUGAACUCCUGUUUAUACAGGCCGUUCCAGAACCUGCGAGUAUAGCUUCACUGGUGGAACACCCUGUAUGUAUGUUUAUACGAUAUAAACGCGUAGCUUUCUCGUGUCGCGAGAGAGGAAGAAGGGAAGGAGGAAACAUGAAAUACAAUAUUUCUUCUAUCGAGACGUUUUUAUCUUGGAAUCACACUCGCAGCUUACCCUUCGCGAUGAUUAAUUACAGUUCCAUUGCUUGAACGUUUAGAUCGAUCAUUAUACGGUAGAACUUCAUUUAUCUCAAAGAGAUUUUAAUUAAUGCGACUCGUUAACUGGACUUUAGCUGCUUCAAUUUACUUAGUCGAACCAGAGCUCCUGUUAUGUGAACACAAAAUAACAAGUAGUUGGUGAGCUCUUGGUGUUACGUCAACUACAAUUAUACAUAUAAACUGCUGCUUGUCCUCCAAGUGAGAAUAAAUGGAGUUCCACUGUAUAUUGAUUUGAUGAGUGGAGGAUCAGUGUUAUAAAUAUAAUAUGGAAUAAUCAGAAAUGGUUCGAUCAACCAAGAAAAGCCAGAGGAAUUGAAUCCUAUAAUACUCGUAAAUCGUGGAUAAAAUAAUAUUUAUUUAUUACUUGUUACUUCAAUGAAACUUUCCUUUUCUCAAUGAAAUGUACAUUGCCGUUAAAAUGUCAAAAUCGUAUUUGGACAUUUGGUUAUCUUUCACAAGUAAACUGUAUUUUAAUGAUAUUGAAUUACCAUAUACAUAUGUAUUUAAAGUUUAUACUAGUAAAAUUUACGUUUUACAAAUUUAUAUGGAAUUCUACAGCAUAAAAUCUGACCUCUGCUGUCAAUAUUUUCGUUCAUCGCUGUACACGGAAACACCAUAUGUUACAGGAAUAUAAUAAUUUUCAAAGAGAAUCGUAUGAAUUAAGGAAACUUGACACAAUUAGCGAGUAAGAUCCAAUCAAAUUGUAAUAAUUAAAUAAUUUAAGCGGGAAUUAUGUUUAAUUGUAUUCCUGUGAUCAUUCACAAACCUUGAAUCCCUCAACCAUCUAUUAAUACACGAACAAUACGAAAGAGAGAAUUUUAGAAAAAGAAAAUACUUAUCUUAAUUAAUAUUCGACUAAGCGUUUAAAAUAUGUUAGAAAAAACUAUAGAACAUAGAUUAAUAUUCUUCAGUGAUAAUCAAGAUAAAGAGAUCAUUCUUCGUGUCUUUAAUAUUUUCAGAUAAUUUCUGACUUCAGAAUAAUAUUUGAAAGAAAAGAGCGAAUAAAGAAAUAAAGGUAACCUGUCGUCGUAAUAGUCUUUUGAAGUAUCAAACCUUCUUUUUCCUUUUCAAACUCAUUGGGAUUCGUUGAAAUAUAAAAGUCGGGCAGUUAAACGAAUGAUUAUUUUUAUUCUAUUUAUCUCUAAUCACGAUCAGUAUAAUCGAUAUUAAAGCGAUGAUUGGAAUUCUUAGACUUUAGAGUUCCGAACAAGCGAAUGAAAUGAAAUUUCAAACAAGUAUCAAGUACCCUGUACAAUCGUUAGUCGUUAGUUACGUAUAGAUAUUUAACGUUAUCUCCAAUGAUACUGAAAGUCUUCUUUGAUUCGUUAGCUUUCGAAAACGAAUAUAUAUUCGGUAAAAUCACGAAACAAACAUCAAGGAUCUUCGAAUUGGAAAAAACAACUCGUAGAAUACACAGGAUGAAACUGUAACUGUAGUAGUUAUCAGGGAAAAAGAUUGCCCCCCUUGUCGAGAGCUAUGAAAUUUAACAAGGGACACGAUUCUACUAAUCGAACUGUGGUUUUCACCUCUUCAUCAGAGAAAUGCUGUCAAGCAGGAAAGUCUAAAAAAAUAUUUAUAUUCGCAGUUUAUUAUUAAUCUGCUCUCAGUCAGUCUCAAAUUUUGGAGAUGAAUUAUUACCUCCACGACUAUGGAAAAAUAUAAUUGUAAAUUCAAUGAUAAGUUCUUAUUGUAAGAAAUGUUUUUUUCAUAGCUAGACUGCGGAUUUUGUUGUGUUUAUAGGAAAUUUGUAAGUGCAAAAUUGCACAGAAUAAAGGUGAUAUGAAAAAAUAUGUAAAAUAUCCAAAGUAUAAUACUUUCUAUGAUACUUGAUAGGUAAAAUAAUCUUCUACCGAGAUUCUAAUUUUUUUGGUUAUAUUCCCAAAAUUGUGAAUUUACGUAAAAAUCCGCUAUCUACUUAUAGCCUUUUAAUUGUUACGUAGUUUGAUAAUGACACACGGGUAAAAAAAUUAAAAAAGUCAAAUUUUUCAUCGACACCUUCGAUACGUCAACUGUAUGCUUCAUAGAAAGAGCGUCUUUUUAGUUAAAAAAAUAAUGCAUUCAGUCGAUAUUACGGCACUUCCGAUGAUUUUUCUAUUAUGUUCUAGUUUGAUCUCGCGUGUGAUUGUAUUUAGAAAUCGAUAGUUCAAUUGAGAUACAGUUUUCGUUGAAACAAAUUUCACACUCUUCCAAGAAGACGAGAAUUUAUUCGUUGGAAAUAAGUAUCAUGGUAAUUGUACUAUUAUCAUAGCAAACGUACAAUAUUACUAUAUUAAAAUUGAGUACACAGCUGUUCAUAAAUGUUAAGACAUUUACAGAAUAUCAGAUAAAUAUAGAAAGUUAUUAUUAAGAAAUUAUUGAUUUUUCAUGUUCAAUUAAUUAAUUAUGUAACUAAUACUAUUAUAUUAUUAAUCGAUGAAACAAUAAAUGUAUUCCUUUCAAGUAAAACUGAUCUUGAAUUUUAGAGAAUUACAUGUUUCCUGUCAUUAUUAUUGCUUGUGCAUUUCGAGAUACCUAACCUCCUAAAAUGAACUAUUUACGCUAGUUUGAUGUCUUUUCGAAAUUCCAAGAUAUCACACGAUUUACGUCGAUCGUAAAUAAAAGUCACGACAAGUAGAAAAAACGUUUGCCGUUUUCUUCUUUUGAUUAUUAUUGUUCCCUGCUAUAUUGGCACUUGAUAUAUAGUCACAAUAAAGAGUGUAAAAUCACAGAAGGAAACAAAUCGCGGGACAAUGCGUUGUGAUGAAGAUCGUAAGGACGGUUCAACAGUUUGGGAAGAAUUGAAAUUUAUGAUGGAUUAAGUUGAAUCGUGUCCCUUGCCAUUCUUUUAAUACCUUACUUUGUAUUGAAACACACAGAGCAAAUAUACGUUUCUUUGAUAUUUUUCCCUCGAUGUUGGCAAAGCAAAAUCUUCCUUGUUAUUUUACGUUCUGAUUGUUGCUCAAAUGACGCCAAGUUACAAUGAAUGCUACCCACUUGGAAAAAAUAUUUAAAUAGUAUCGAUUCUUUAUGAUUUUUCUAAAGUAAGGCCUAACGGUGUAGGUACAGUGGUCACAGACGCGCACACACUUUCAAAUACCGUUUCACAAGCGGCAUUUCGCCUCGUUUUCUCCUUUCUUUUUUAAAUCGUUAACCGAUUAUUCUCGAGUAUUUCUGCAUCGAAUAAUAUUUUAAGUUACCUUCAAGUCACCGACGAUCAUUUCACAACAUUUUCGAUAAUUUCGACGAUGCUUUCAUCGAUAUCGAAUUUUUUCGGCACUCUGUCUAGUCACGCGUUUAAAUCAUCGAUGAUAUUUUCCAUCAAUACAUUCAUUUCUUUAUGUAAAAAGUGAUGAAAAUGAUAAAAUAUUAUUAUAUCACACUUAUACUGUCAUGCCUCGUUUAAGUUAUACUAAGUUACUAACUUUAUAUCGUGACUUUAUAUUGUUAGUACAAUAUAUAUAUUGAAUUCUUAGAUAAUUAUUAUUAUAUAUACUAAAGAAUUAUUAUUAGAGGUAUAUACUAUAAUAAAGCUACUUGAAUUGAAGCAACUUGAGACCACUUCAUCAGUGUACUUAUUAUUUACUUAACUUGAAAUAUUCCUUCAAAUUUAUGUGCUUACACUCAUUAGUCAAACAAUGGCUAAAUGUUAUUUUUGUAACUUUCCAUUCUUAGACCUUCAGAUCCUUCUUUAAUGAUUUUGAUGUUCUCUUAACAUAGGACUGAAUUAUUCUGAGGACAUUUUGAAAUAUAUGUGAUAUAUUUGAAAAUAAUGCUACACUAGAAAAAUGAAUUAGACAAAAUUAAUAUAAAUUAAGAAAAAUCGAAAUAGGACAAUGAUGAUGAUGACAAACCUAUAUUCAUAAAUAUGAAUUAAAUGUCGAUGAUUUGAACGCGUGAGUAUGUACGCAAGGUUAACUUGCUUAAGCUGUCGAUGAAAUGAUUGUCUGUAAUCUAGAGGUAACCUAAAUAAUAUACGCACAUAAUUGAUCGCGUUGUAUCGGUGAAAACGCGUCUUUUUAGGCUUCGAUUUCUAAUUCGUCAUUCGUGGAGUUGCUUGAAACGUAGCAAGGCUACAACAAAGCUUCGUACCAUUUCAUCUCUCUCUCUCUCUCUCGAUUCCAUUUUAGAAUUGUCUCUAAUCGAUAAAUCACAUCUCUCGUCUCUUCGAUUUGACAGUUUCUCUUAAGAGUAUUUCUCUAAAUAGAAAUCUCUCGUGAUCUCUUAAAACUAAUCUGCCUGUUUAAAUCUUAUUCGCCUUAUUUUAAAUUUACCGCGAUUUUAUACAUAUUUUUUGUCAAUUUUUCAUUUUUUUUUUUUCAACGUAAGUAAAUACUCUUGAUUUACCAUUUACGACAUCCCACGAUUACAAUCUACGGUUCGUUAUACUAUAACCUAUGUUUCAUAACUUCCAAGCGCGGUAAAUUUCGAUUUACGAACGUAAUAUUUUUUUUCUCAAGAACAUCUUUUUGGUGUCCCACCGAAUGAAAGUCUCCUUUUACUUUGUUUUCAAGAGCGAGCAAGACUAGAAUCUCUUAUUAAUAUCACUGUUUAUGUCUAACUAAAAAAAGAAAAGAAAAUUUAAAAUUAAUCGAAGAAAAGGAGGAAUAACUAUUAAAUCUCAUAUCAAGUUUCUUGAUUAUAUGUACCUUGCUUAUUUCUUUUUUAUCCAUUAUCGAAAAGCUUUUAAGAAACACUUCUCAGGGAUUUUCCAUCAAACGGUGACAAUGACGUUACGUCCUACUUUGGAAACAUUUUUGUUUUAAUAAAAAGGGAUGUAAAUAAUGAAAAUAGUUCAUAAUUGUACCCGUUUUUGUCGUUCCUAGGCCGUUUUUAUACCGGUAAUUGGAACAUAAACUGAUUUGCAUUAGUAGAAUAAAUUUUUGAACCCUAGAAAAUAAUACUAUAAAAAAAAUUUUCAAUAUUCCAAUGAUUAAACAGAAACGAUGUUGAUUCGCGAAAUUCACUGGAUAGCAAAUAAAUGAGAGAAAUGAAAUGUAAAGAUUAUUAUACAUGUACAUAUGUGAUGAUAAACUUUGAAAAAUUUACACACUAGUAACGAAGCAGCUUUUAAUAGUCGCUAGUAUCGAUUGAUAUAUCAUUUAUCGCUAAAUCUAGGGAUAUUCAUUUCUUUUAUGUUGCACCAUUAUAUGAAUGUACAGUAUUACUACACUUUCCAUUCGUACUUGUGUAUUUCAUCUUUGCGAUUAAGUACACCGAUUAAAAUACUUUGUUGAAAUACUUUUAACGGGAAUAUAGUUCGACGAAAAGAGAAAUAUAUGCGUAGAGGGCACAAGUAUAGUUAUUUUUGUCUGCUAUACUUCACGUAGCCUGUUUUUCCCCAUUUCCUAUUGCGCUUUUUUUGAGCAAAUAAUAUCAUGUUAUAAAUUAUUCUUGAUAUUUCCUUUCUUCUCUAAACUAUCAAGGAAACGAUGAAUAUUUUCAAGGAACAAAAUAAAAGAAGAAUGAAAGAGAAUAUUCGGAGAGACGAUGAUAUGGAACACUCUUAAAUACAUGUAAUACUUCGGAAAUCUCGGAAAUAAGGUAAUUAUCGUAAGCGUUCAAUUCGAUUUUGAACAUCAUGGCGACGAUAAGUCUUCUCUUAUUUCAUUUUCCCCGAUCUUUCCAAACAAAUAGAUACGAGACUCGCUUUUAUAAAUACGGAGUCGUUAGAUUAUCACCAAAUAGUUGCACAUUAUUAUACACCGGUUUAGUCUUACACGCGUUCAUCUCGACUUUUUCUAAUGAAAAAGGACAACUAAUGUUUUCUCUGCAUUUAUAGUCAUCAAUGCAGAUAUGUAUGUCGAUAAAAAUGCGCAUUCGUAACGUAACCAACAAAUGUACAGAAAGUCAUUCACAUUCGUAAUAAAUAUUUGUUUGAUUUAAUAAAACUUUUAUUCGAUUAAGUUUCAGAUUAUUUUCAUUGUGCUAUUUCUCUGUCAUCACAGGACAAGAAACAAUAUAGACAGCAUGCUGAAAACAAGGUUAUAUAAGGUAUCUUUAUAAAAUUGAUUGUCAUACAAAUAUCGCAAGCGAUAUUACCAAACUUGUGUCACGUUGCUCAUUAUAAGUUUGUCGGUAAAACACAGGUAAACGUUUAGAGUGUAGCACGAAAUAGAAAAAUAAGACAUGAUUAACAUUACAUUUGGUGAGUAAUAGAUGUUAAUAAAAUUAUGUAUCAUCUGUUUCAGUAAUGAAAUUAUUUACCAUUUUCAAAGAAGAAUAUUAAGAGGCUUUAACGAAAGAUGCGUAUAUCGGAAAUAUGUAGUAGAAAUCUCGAUAGCCAAAUAAAAAUUUUACGGGACGGUUCACAGUUACAUACUGUCUUGUUUCGACAUCACAUGUUAGCGUUUCGAAAUGUUACGCUGAUCACGUUAUGUUCUUGCUAAUUUGCAAAAGGCGAAAUUCUUGCUACUUUCCUAUUCGGUUCGUUACGAAAAAUGGCAUGAUCUUGGAAUUGCGUAUAUGCACGCUCGUAGGGGGGGGGGGGGGGGUACCUUUUUAUGAACAAAUUUUAACAAAUUGUCAGAACACUAAGUUCAAAGUACAUCGUUGAAAUAAUGUUCUCUACACGAUAGCACCACCUGUUCACCCGCUCAUCGUAAUUUAUGUACAUACAUACAGUGGCUACAAGAUUCAUACGUACUUAUUUUUAGCCGAAAAUUAUUUGAUUGAAUGCGAAACGAAGCAUCCUGUUUAUUAGAUUCUACGUUUCAGUUCCAUAUUUUUAUAAUCAUAUGAAAUUAUUAUUAAAUGGUAUGGAAAUUUGUUAUAGAUGGAUAUAAUUAAUUGGUGUAUAAAUGCAACGUAAUAAAUACAGCGGUGUAGAAAUAUCUUUUGCAAUCACCGUAUACGUCUUUCGACUAACAAAAACUAUUUGUUCGUUAAUAUAUCCAUUACGUAUAAGAAGAUAGACAUUUUAUAAAAAAAAGUGAUUUUGAAAUCGUCGUUCAAAAUUUCUAAAAGGAAAAAAAUACUACUAGGAAAAUACCAAAAAUUAAAUUAAUUUUUCAUCGUUAACAUUUAGUAGCAGUGGUAAUUGAUAAUUAACCGUAUUAUUGCUUUAUAACAAUAUGUACGUAAUACAUUAAUGCACGUUAAUUCUACAUAUAAAUUAUGGAGAAAAAACGGAUAUGUUAGAAUUUUGUAUGGUUUGCUAUAAAUAUCGAUAUUAACUUUACACAAGUAUAAAUAAAUUAUCACAAAAAAUAUAUCAUCAACAGAAAAUUCUUUCGAGAACGCUUCAAAAAUUACAAUUACAUUCGUACCAAUUGUAGUACAAUUAUGUACAAAAAAUUGUUCUAUAUGUUUUACAGUAAAAUUUCAACGAAAAACUGUCAUCGAUAUUUUAACGAAUAUUUCCUGUUCCAUUUAUAGUAAAAAAAUACCAUGAAUUCUGAGAUUUCAAUAAAUGCUAUAAAACUCUUCAUUUUAAGUAAACACGUUAGCAAAUUGAUACGAUAAAAGAAGCUCAAUCGUUGGACAAUUUUUACUUUUUUCUCACUCACUAAAUUUUAAUCGUUCCGUUGUAAAUUGGAGCGGUUUAACGAAACUAAAAGGAGAAGAAAGGACACAGAACGUACAAAGUAACAUAAUUUUGUUCGAACAGAAAUAAACUUGCACGCCGUUUCAAUAGCGUACUGACAAAAAGAAUAGAUCAGAGAAUAAAUUCAACACGCAAAGUAAUGCGAUAGAAAUAAGGAAACCUGGGCCAUUUACUUACGUUUUCUUAAUAGACAAGGAAAUGAUAGCGAGAGUUCCGUAUAAUGCUGUUUAGACGAAUUGUUUAAAAUAAUUCGCGGUUACCUAGUAAAAAAAAAAAAUGAUUACACUUUGAGACUGAAAAAUGGUCCGGUUCUGCAACUGAAAAAGAAUUGCGAAAACGAAGAAUGCUGCAAAGAAAAUGAUAAAUUAUUGAAAGCCGGUUGAAUUUGUAUUAGGGAAAUUGAAAAAAAAAAAGGAAAAUGUUCAAUUUGAUUUUAAAUAACUUUAUUUCUAUUUAUCAUUAUAGCUAUCAGAAAAAGACGAGAGAACACCCAUGAUCGUUUUAAUCACUCGUUAUUCGAAUUCUCACUCAACGAUUACAUAAUUAAGUAAUUACGAAAGCAACCAAGAGAUUUUUUUUUUUCGAAAUAAAGAAGAAAAAAGUAAACAUCUUAAUAUAAACAUAUAUUAAAUUCAUACAAUUAAUUAAUAUACAUAUGCAUUUCAUAUAUAUAUAUAUAUAUAUUUUUUAUAUAUAUAACAUAUAUAUUAAUUAAUACAAUUAAAUUCUACAGUUUCAGAUUAAAAAUAAAUAAUAAAUGAAAAAGAAAGAAACAUGUUAAUUUAUCUCCAGACUUUUCAUAUGCGCGUUGAUAUUUUUUUUAAUACCUCCAGAAUGAAUUAACUAAUCCAUUAAUUAAUUAAUUAAUUAAUUAAUUAAAUAAUUAAUUAAUUCGCUUAUCGGCACGAUUCUACAAUUAAUCAAUUAAUACCAUCGCAGUGAUUAUCUAAAAAUCCUGAAAAAAGCGUACACAAUUGGGUUACACAUCUUUUUCAUUCGAUUAAAAAGAGUCUGUACUUUUAAAGGAAAAAAUAUAAUGUUCGAUAAUGCAGGGUGAUCAAAAAAUAAUGGUGCAAGAGACAAUUUUAAGAAAUCUUUUGAGUAGAAAAUAAGACGAUUUUUCGCAACUGUCCCCGACGCUCGAUGAACGUAUGUAUAGGAUAGUAGGUACUGAACAAUACUAUAAAAAAAAGCUGUCGUUAACCUUUAAAAAACGAGGUUCGAUUUUAGGCGUAAUUGGUCGCACAUUCUACCGUCAUUAUCAUCUAAAUUCAAGCCGAUCAUCCUCACAGUAUAUGGCGUCAGUUUUAAAUUUCAUUCGGCAAUAAGUUAACCUUCCCUCAAAAAUCGUCAAAUACGCGAAACGAUAGAAUAAAUAAUAAAUGAUAACGUCACAAUAAUAAUAAUAAUAAUAAUAAUAAUAAUAAUAAUAAUAAUAGUAAUAAUAAUAAUAAUAAUAAUAAUAAUAAUAAUAAUAAUAAUAAUAAUAAUAGUAAUAGUAAUAAUAAUAAUAAUAAUAAUAAUAAUAAUAGUAAUAAAAAUAACAACAUAAGAUAAUGCCUAAUGUAUAAUUACUCGGAAUAAAAUUUAAAAGAAGCGAAAUAAAAAGCUAAAAAGAUAUAUUCGUUUCGGUGUACUGUGAGUAGCAACGAAGGGAGUUAUUUUUCAUCAUAAUAUCUGUAAUAAUAAAAUAUUUUGCGUUACAUUUCGUUAAUAUUUGGUACAAGUACUUUCACACUGUUAUACCUCUAUAAUAUAACGGUUAUUCGAUUAUUCGAUAGUCCUUAAUAAAGCAUUCCUUAUAUAUAUAUAUAUACAUACAAUUGUUACUACUUAUCAUAGUACGGUAUAUGCGGUCACUAGCAAUGCCUAAAGAUUUAUUUGUCGAGGAGCAAAAAAUGUGUGAAGAAAACAUGAAAAGAGAGCGGGAAACUGAAAAGAGGGAAUCAUGUUAUUUUCAACUCAAAAAUGUUUCUCAGGUUUUAGCAGCCACGGUAUGUUCACAAAUCUCGAAUUGUAAUUAGCCGCGCGAAACGUCAAUUGUCCUUGAGCGGUAAAUAAAAUCACGAUUAAGAAUAAUAUUCCAUUAUAUCUAGGAAGGCCGCAGUUUUCUCUUGUACUACAAUCUUUAAAACACCCUGUAUGUAAGAAAGUUUAUUCUAAGUAAUAUUAUAUGUAUACAUGUGGUGUACGUGUCACGUACGCGUAUGAACACAUAAGUACGUAUGCAUACAUGCAUACCCACGUGGCUGUGCACGUAUUUACACAUGUACACACCUGGACGAACGUAUACAUAUAUGUACGCAUACAUAUAUAGGUAUAUAAUACGUGUACGUAUACAUAUUCACAUACGAUCGCACGCGUACACAUAUGUGCACAUUAUUCGUAUAUACGUGUAGACGUAUAUAGGGUGUGCAAUAAAGCUGAAAGUGCGAUAUGUAAGAUUCCCGGAUUCAAAUUACGCAAAUUUCAUUCGAGCUAAAAAUUCUGUCAUUUUUUCCAAAUAAAUCGUAUCAUCGGUGAAUCGCUGAACUGCGGAUACGUGUGCACGUUCUUUUUUUUUUCUUUUCAACUUUGAUUGCUGUGUUAUUCAAUUCAGUUCAAGAUCGAUUUUACUUGGAAACAAUUUGUCCGCAAACAUCAUCCGUAUGUUUUUUUUAACUAAAAAUGGAAUUCGUUAGUACAAUAGUACAACGGCCCCUUGUUGUACCUUCCCAAACACCCUGUAUAAGAACACGCGUAGUAUAAAGAAUUUGAAAAAUACACUUAAGACGAUAAGGAGGGCAACAAAGAAACAAAAUAUAUUUUCACUUCAACCGUUUCGAUGACCAGACUAAUCUAUGCUUUAAGGCUUUAAAAAAGCUCCUUAAGGACCACCGCAUUACAUAAGGGUGCUUAAUAUAGGUAGCGCUAUAGUGUACAGAACUGUUUCGUCCGAUAUAAAACAGGCAAUUAUUAUUUACCUUUACUCUUUUCAUAUGCCUAUUUAUUACUUUCUCCCCCACACUCGACCGACUAUCAUAUUUUUUCUUUUUAUCACUUAUCCCUAUUAUUUUUAAUUUUUUUUUUUUUUUGUCAUUUUUCUUUUUUCAGAAAAUCGAUGUUAACUAAGGUGCUGAGAUAACGUUUCUCUUCUUCUCCGCCUGUUCUUUUUUACCUUUUACGAUUCGCUUUGAAACCGGGACGAUCUUAGAAGCAAAGUGGGAUCAAUUUCUCAAAAUCAUCUUAUUUUUAGCAGAGGAAUUGUAACUGCGCUCUUGUACUAUCAUUUAUGUGACACCCUGUACAUGUUGAAUUGUUAUCUUUUUUUUUUUUUUGUUUUUUCUUCGUUUAACAAGCAUAUUUAAAUACGUACACACGAUACGAGAGUGUAUCUUCCACAAGAAAAAUUAUCGUCCUUCAUCACAAUCAACACACAUACAGAGACGCAGGUAGAAAAUGGGAUUUAGGUUCGUUCAGCGUGCAUGAGCGUGAGCGCGAACCUUUUCUCGAGUAGAAAAAGUCGAGGCUUUUGAAAAUUCACUUCUCCACACUAACCCGGCGCAUUUAUUUAAAUUCUAAUCUUUUAUAGUAAUGAUUCAUACCCUAAAACAGCUAUAUAUUCAAUAUUUAUUAUCACAACAAAUAUCUUUCCGUUAGUUUGAGAAAGCUUUUCGCCCUUUGAUUCAAUUUGUGUGUGGUGUUCGUGUGUGUACAUGUUUAUAUGUAUAUAUGUGUUCCUAUGUGUGUGGGCGUGUGUGCGUGCUAUAUGGAUGUAAUGUGUGUACUUAAAACACGCGACAUUCAAUUAUCCUAUACAUUUUCCACUUUGAAUUCUUUCUGGCCUUUUUUCUCUUUCUGGCAAGAAACGAAGGACACACCGUUUUCUAGAUUAUAUGUGGAACUAUUAACUCGUAUUGUGAAUUUUCACGCGCCCAAAGCACUUUUGUGACAUUGUUCGAUUAAAAUCGAGUAGAAAACCAAUCUUCUUUUUUCGAUGUUCAUCAGACUCUGAUAUGUGUAACACGACGCUUCUUUGAAAAAAUGAUGUCCAAAAAAAUUAAUUCGAAAAUUUAAAAAAAAUAUCUCUAGCGAAGUUUCGUAACAAAUGAUGACUACUCGUCGACCGUCAACGUUCAACAAUCGUUGUAAGAAAAAAAAGUCAAAUAUAAAAAGACUAAGAAUAGAAGUAUACAUGUCACGUAUUCUUCAUCGUGAAUUCGAUCAAAAUGUAUUCUUAAAUUAGAAUAAAACGAACGAACGAACGAACGAACGAACGAACAAACAAACAAACAAUUCGAGGAACAUCACCGAUCUUGAAACGCUGUUCACAGACUUCAACGCGUUAUCGUAGUAUUUCGCUAUGAAUAACUUCUAGUGGAAAACUGAAGGAAAGAAACAGAGAAUAGAAGGAAAUAUAGUAUUUUUAAAAAGCUUGCGCUCGCCCAAACGUAUUAGGUUCGCAUUGUAAUGUUACUGACGCUAAUAACUUGGACGUAAAGAAAAGUUACUAGACGAAGAAAAAGGUACCAGAGAAAAUUCAUUGGUGAAAAAUUCUUGAACAACAUUUAAGUAGAAGGUAAACACAAAACUCCGCAGAACCAUGUUCAACGUCAUUGUCAUCGUAAACGUCAUUCGUCACUGUAAUCGUUAUUAUACUCCAUAACCUCCUAUCCCCUCCCACGCAUACAAUAUUCACCCAAUCAUUUGGAAAUCUUACACUAAGCUUCACCAUCAGAGUCGUUAGAAUACUACGCUACUUGUGAAUAUAUCUCUCAAUACCGUUAGACAAUGAAAAUCGCAAAAUUGUAAUAACUAACAUUUUAUAUCUAUUAUUUCGUACCGUUUCUUCUUCUCGUCUCUAUUUUUAUAUUAUUGUUAUUAGCAUUAUAUCGCAUCUUAAUGAACAUUACGAUCAUUAUUACUGUUAAUACCUAAUAUUUAUUUCAUUAAUUAUUAAUUCAUUAUUGUUAGUUUAUUAUUAAUCUAUCUAAAAUUAAUUAAUUUUUCAUUAUUGUUAGGAAUAGAGGUUACUCGCGAAUUAGUCCACUUUGUUGCAUUAAUCAGUAGUCAUUUUUUUACAAUAAUUAAUCACCUUAUUAAUUAGUACUCUCUUCAAAAUGCUUUCUUAUAAUAUAUAUUUAUAUAUAUAUAUAUAUUAUCGUAAUAUAUAACUGUGUGUGUGUGUGUGUGUGUGUGUGUGUGUGUGUGUGUGUGUGUGUGUGUGUAGGUGGGUGGGCGUGUGUCUGUGUGUACGUGUCUGUGGACGCGUAAGGUUAUAUUAUCCACGAAUAUGCAUACACAUAUACGUGUACGCAGCAUGUUGUGUGUAUACGUGUAGACAAACAAUGUAUACAUAAAUGUCUGUUCACUUUUUCUUUAUCAUUGAUAAAUCCUAAAUUAUUAAUAAGUAUGUAUGUGUGUAUGUGCGUGUGUCUUAUGUGUGUAUUGCGCGCGCGCUCGUACGUGCGUGCCUGCGUGUGUCCCAGUAUUUACUAUAUUUACUAUCCUUCUUCCCUAUGUUGUUCACAUGUUAAUAGUUAAAAAUGACAAGUUUAAACUUUACUCCUCGGACCUCGAUUUUCAUUUCGUUUUCUUUUCUUUUCAUUUAGAACCCCUUUCGGGAUGCUGUUCUCUUUCGAAGCGUGUGCACAAGGGGUACUUCUCCUAAAUCUAACAAAUAACAUGACACUAACUUUCUGUAAUAUCUUUAAAACGUUCCAUGUUUGCUAAUUACGAAAUCAGUGCAUGGCACUUCCACCUUCAUUGAAUGGUCCUAGGUUGCAAAACGCGCAUUGCAGCCAAUUUUUUUAAUUUUUCUCGCUCAUUCAUUUUUUACAACAGAGAAAUUACUUCAUCUUCGACUUUUUCCUAAUAUCUUAUGAAAUCAGUGUUUUUCGUAUAUUUCUUCAGUGUAUAUUUAUAUUAUACGUAUAUAAUUAAUUUAAAAAAACAGCAUCUUACAAACACGUAUUAAAUUAACUUCAUAACUAGAUUAGACAAUAAAUGUGCGUAGAAGCUUCAUUUAAAAUUUCACAUGCUUACAUUCAUAAUAAGUGAAAAUAUCAUCUAUAGAUUGUACAUUAAAUCUGAAUUAUUUGGCCCUGAUCACUUCGUAUGUACAAACAUUUCAGUUUCCGUAUGUUCAAAAUUUAAUUGGUCACGAUUAACUAAUAAAUAAUAUUCACGGAAAAAGAAUGGGAAUCAUACUUAUUUAUAAUUCUUGGAUAUGUUAACCGCCGAAUAACGACCAGAUACAUAUCGUUAAUUACUAUUAGGCAUCUAGACUUAGUUAUAUUUCUUUUUUUACUUUAUAGGUUAUUUGCCACAUGUUCUAAUUUCGAUUAUGUCUUUCCAAGAAACCCUGACGAAAGGUUCCGGAAUUUUUCAAGUCCACUUCGAUUUGGAAAACACUCGAAAAAUAUUUUCGUUCUUUCAAUCACUUUUUUGACUCAAUCACUUUAGGUUAAAUUCCGAUUCGAAAAUUGUGCGAAAUAUUUCGAGGAAUUUUGCUCGCUCUUCCCAAGCUUAUUUACAUUCACCGUCAAUAAUUUCGUAUUUAGGCAACAAAAAAGAAAUGUGUCGUUUAUCUCGAAACGAUGUUGAAAUUUUCAAAUUUAUUCAAAUACUUUUCUAUUUUUCGAAAUCUAUUACAACAGAAUCAUAAAAUUUAAUAUUCCGGUCUUCCGUAUAUUUUAAGUCAUAUAUUUCCCUGAUAUUACAAGUGAAACGCUUUUCCUUAUCUUUUUACAUUUCUUUUUCUUUCUUUGCUAUUCGUAUUACUUUGAAUUUUCGAACAAAAUUUCGAAGAAUCGUUUUAACCAAACUUAUUAGUACGAACGUUUCAAAUCACUACAUAUAUAUACAACUCUAAGUAAUAAUCACGACAACCAACGAAAUCUUUGGGGAAGAUUUAUAAAAGGUUAGUUCUCAGAGUUCUCGCGUUUUCAAUAUAUCGAGAAAAAGCUAUAUUUCGAUCAUACUCAGCGAGGUGCGUAAGACGUAAAAGGAAAGAGAAAGAUAUUAACACGUUUACCUUAACAUUUAACAUCCCAGAUAAAAAUAACAGUUGGCUCACAUUUUCGGACAUAUAUUAAAAUCGAUUUUCUAAGCACAUUUCGUUUAUAUUUCUUGCAGAAAUACAAAGAACUGUAGAGUUCUCUUGAAGGAAGGGGAGAAAAGAUGAAGAAGAGUAGUUAAAAUUUGAACACACGCAUUCGCGACCUUUAAAUAAUACUGUAUCACAAUUAAAACAAAUCAGACUAUAGGGAUAUAAUUAUUACUAAUAGAUUGCAACGCAAUGAGCAUAGGUAUGCGAAAGUUUAAUCAUUUAAAAGAUUAAUUAAAAGGAAAGGUUUUAUAACGAUGUUUAAUAAUAUCAUUUAUCUCUGUUAAUAUUGCAUUACACCUAAUAUUCUUUAUAUAUUAUAACAAAAUUGUCGAACAUAAAACUAUUUAUGUAUGUAUAACUGUUUAUUUCAAUUUCACCGGCAUCGUCGGCUAUUCGCCAUAUUGCGCCACUUUUCUGUAUGACUAUAUAAAAUAUUUCUAAAACUUCGUUUACCAUUAAAUUUAGUGACUUGAGAAAUCAAAUUUACAAUUAUAAGAUUAAUAUUCAUAGUAAUACAUUAUUAAAACGUUAUGCGUUAAAAAUACAAAGAAACAUAUAAAUUAACUAUUUCAAGUGUAUUUCGAUCGUUCUUUUCCUAAAAUAAAUUCAAGUAUUCGUAUCAAUCUUUCCUCCGUAAAGACACAUUCGUUAACAAGUUUCGAGUUAUCAAAAGCCUUUUGUUUUGACUAAAUUUAUUCCGUUUGUAAUAGUUAUUGUGGUUGGAAUUUUUCCUUAUCCACGUCACAUGUUUAUUUUUUUUUCCCGUCCUCUUGUUAUUAUCAAAUUAAUAAAUGGCACAUGCCCCAAAUGCACACGCGUGUGUAUUCAAGAAAAAGAGGGGAAAACGAUUCAUCCCGAAAGAGAAGAGUAUGCGCAUAUGUGUACGUUUUCCUACUGGCGCGUGUGUACGCAUGCGCUCGAAAUACGUAAACUGACCACCGAGAAACCUCAACUAAUACACGCACCAAUUAAUAGUAACACGUAUAUACACUUGCAUACACGGACGUAAAAUAUACUAGAUACCCCUGUGACACCUGUGUGCACAUCGAUAGUAUAGCACGCAUGCGUACCGAUACGUCGAAUGCACGAAACAAAAACGCGGUAUAACACGCAUGCGCGUAAGCGUAUUAGAAAUUCGUAUCAUCGUAAACCACCAAGAGUGGUGCAUAUGCGCACAAGUAUGCAUACGCCUGUUAUUGGCUGUAUUCCUUUAAAACUUUCCUCCCGGUUCUUUUUUUCUCUUUUUCUCUUUUUCUCCUUUUCUUUUUCUAAACGUGUAUUCGAUUUGUUUCGGACUAAAUAUAAAUGCCUAACCUUUUAGACUUAACAUUCAAUAUACCGCAUGCUUCGCUAGACACAGCCAAGAAUUUGAAAUGUUUAAAUAGACGUAAAAUGGUUAAUAAUGUCGUCGCUAAUAACUCCCUAAAGAAAGUUACAUAGGUCAGAAACAAUUAUAAUUUAGCGUUAAUCGAACCGAUUUGUUGCCAUUAUUUUAUGUUAGUUAAAAAUAUAAUUUCACGAAUUACAUGGCUCUAAAGACGAAUAAUUUAUCUUACGCAGAAGACGAAUAAGUUCUCACGAAAAUUAUGAAAGUUCUUUCAUUUUUUAAAUUUCGAACUUGUUUUUUCUUUUUCUCUUUAAAUUUAAUCUAAAUCAUUAGUAUUAAAUCGAAUGGUAUUUAAUAUCAAUAUCACAUUAGAGUUUUAACAAGAAAAAUAAAUAUAGACGAGAUGGCGUCGCGAUCUCGUGCGGUUUCAAAAGAACACAGACAAUAAGUGCAAUAAAGUACAUACGCGUUUGUGUAAUGAACAGAAAAUUAAGCGGAGAAGGUGUAGGAGGUUAACGAGAGAAAUAAAAGGAGAACAACAAAUUAAAUACAAUUAGAUCUACAGACGAAAAAUAGUGAAAACAAGGAGAUAAGAAGGGAAAAAGAAUACGUAGUUUCAGCGCAUGCGCACAAGAGAUUGUAGUGUUACAUAGCUGGUUGGUCUUAAAUAUAGCAUGCUAACUCUAGUAUUUUGAAAUAUGCCUUUUUAUAAAAUAAUAAUUAACGACACUGAGGUAAGUGGCUAUUAGAUUAAGCUUACUUGUUACUUAUUUUCAUUCACCUAUUCACACAUUUUUCCGGUGAUAUGUAUCAGAAAUCAAUUCGUUUUUUAAAUAUAACAAAACUAAUCUUUUCUUUCUUCAUUGUUUGAAACGUUUAUAAGUAAAUCACAAGAUUUUUAGUUUUAUAGAUACAUUUUGCAUCGUUGAAACGUAUCUUAUUUGUUCGAAAAGUACUUAAAAGGCAAAGCAUGUUAGAAUAUUUACAAGCCUCGAAGGAAAUAAUACCAGCGUUUUUAUUCGAUCGAAUCAUCAAAUUUUAUGAAAAUAGACCAUCAUCUGUAAUCGAAUAAUUGAAAUGUUUUUUUCCUCGGAUAUCAAAUGUAAACUAUUAUAAUAUAACUAUGUGUAUAUAUACAAAGCAAAAGAAAAUAGUACGAGAGAUUAUUAAGGCAAUAGAAGAUUCUAAUUAACGUUCUAAAUUUUUAAAUUUUUUAAAUUAACAGUACAACGAACAGAACACGACAGAGACGACAAAUUAAUAAUACUAAUUUAUAAUGCUUUGCUUCUACGACGAUUGGUUAGCAACAGAAUUGAAAAAAACUAUACAAAGUCCAGCUAUAACUUUCAAGUAAACUUAUUCGAGAAGAUUGCAAUAAAAAGACGACCGUUUAGGAAAGUGUCCAGGUGUUUAUAGUAUAAAACUAUAGAGAUGUGUGUGUGUGUGUGUGUGUGUGUGUGUGUGUGUGUGUGUGUGUGUGUGUGUGUGUUUGUUUGUGUCGUAUGUAUAUUAUACGUAUAUAAUUAACCCCCAGUGUCGUAAAAAUCCCACACGUGUACCAGUAUUAUUUUAUUUUAAUUUAGUUUAUCAAACGAUUGCAAGCGUUUGUCGAUCAUGCUUGAAGUGUGCUGCCGCCUAUCUUCAAGAUAAAAGACAAUGAAUUGCUUCUUAUGUUUUAUCUCAAAUGAAAAAGAGAAACCAUUAUCGUUGGAAGUACCAGCGCUCGUACAAAUUUAGUUCCCGCCUCGUAAUCUAAAUUUACGUUCCAUUCUGGAACAGCAAAUAAGGUACACUCAUAAUGUUCGAACGCCCUCAGACCUCUAUUAUUCGUAAUAUUAUCAAUAAUGUUAUCUAUUAUUCGUUACCAUUAAUAUUAUCACUAGCAAUUCUUAUAUGACUGCUGCUUUCCUAAAAACAUUACACUACUGCUGCCGUCAUGAUAAUCCUUGUUAAUUAGCAAGUAUUACCAUUGCCGCUUGUUAAUAUCACUACCACUAAUAUAAAUUGCAAUUACUUUAAUACUCUAAUAUUUCAUUACUAUCGUUAUUAUCGUCUUCUUGAUCAUCACUCUAUUAUUAUUGUUUUUACGGAUUAUUGAUUAAUGAAUAUCAUAAUCAGCAACAAUUAUGUUUUUGUUUAUAUUACAUAAAUCGCAUUAUCAUUAACCCCUUAUUAUUAUAUCGUGAUUAACUUUUUAUUCCGUUCACGGUAUCCUGACUACUGCGACAGGCGUUUCUCUAUUAUUAAUAUCGUGUACCACCACCACCACUAGGUAUGAUUUAUCGUUACUGCUACUAUUAACUGUGCAACGACAGUAACAGCGUCAUGAUAAUAAGUAAUGAUAAUGUUUAAUAACUGUAACAAAAAGAUUGGUGACAAUACAAUGGCAAUGUUAAUAAUAAUAAUAGCAGAAAUUAACAGCACCAACAAUUAUCCUAGUACUCUUUAAUAUUAAUCAUCAGUAAUAGUAGUUGUGUGUAACACUAACAAUAGUUACGACCAUAAUAAUAGUAACAAUAAUGGUAAUGAUGCGUUACUAUACUAUGCUGAACAGUAGAAAUAAGAAUUGUAUUACUGCGAUAGAAAGCAGUAGAGAGAGAGUGGCAAUAGUAGAAGCUGAAACAGCGAUAGUAACCAGCGUUAGUAGUAGCAAAAUGUAAGAGCAGCUAAAUAUAACGAGAAAUAAGAUUAGAAUCGAUAGUAGUAGCCACAGCUGCAAUAGAAAUCAAACGAAAUGAAUGGCAGUAAUAGCAGCAACAAUAAUCGCAAAAAUGUUGAUAAUCCUCACAGCGAUAAUAUGAGUACAAAGAUGUCAAUUGUAGUAGUAGCAAAGGCAGUAAUAAUAAUAGUGGUAACAUUAUCAUUACUCUAUUAUCACAUUACACAAUAUUGCCGCUAUUACUAUCAUUGUCGCGCCACUACUAUCGUUGUAAUUGCUAUAACUACAGAUUAUCAUUCCUUUCAUUUGCAACCUCGUUGAAAUUACAACUUACUUCUUUUAAUACUGCUGUUAGAACUAUUGUUGCCGCUCAUACUAUUACCACUUCGAUUGCUAUAUUUGUUACACGAUUGCUAGCGUUAUCUUUAUCUUUUUUUUUUCAUUUUUUUAACCAUCAUUAUUUAUUAUCAUCAUAGCUAUUGUUGUUGCUGUUAUUAAGUGUUAUAAAUAUUAUCUAUCAUUUAGCAUUACUAUUAUUAUUACUGUUACUACUAUUAAUUCCACUACUAUUGCUGCUACUUGCUACUACUACCACUAACUGUACCUAUUUAGUUCUACGACUACUUCUACUAUUAUUAUUAUUUAUUAUUAUUGUUGUUACAAUUCAGCGAUUCCACCGUGGAACCUGAGUAAUCUGGAUAGAAGCUUAGUGUCAACUAAUUUCGAUGAAUCGUAGAGGCAGCUUUUUCCAAGCAUUAAGAUAUAAAAUUUGUGAAUUAUACGUGUAUUAUUGAAUCACCUGAAAUCACACACACGGUAUUCAGUUAAGCAUAUAGGUGAAAUUUGAGUUGCGAAACUGAACGUAAGUCUUCGGAUUGAAUUGCCAUAAAUAGAAAGAGUCAACUAACGAAAAUGCACUCCCGCCCUUCUAGUAUGUCAAAAUAAGAAAGAAACCCUUUAGAUCCAUUGUUAACUACCUUCGUUGGAAUAAGAUAAUAACAAUUUCGUCUUUUUACUUUCUUCUCCUUUUUUUUUUCUUUUUAAGACAAUUACGCGAUGUUAUACGUUUCAAGUUGUAGGGUCAACUAUUCAUCAACUUGUUUAAAAAAUUGUCUAAUAAUUUAUUUAAUACGCGAAUAUUCUUAUGUUAACAAUGAAUGUUAAUGUAAUAGAGAAAUAUCGAUAAGCGUAUUCGAAAAUAUUAUAAAAUGAACAUAGCAGAUAUAUUUCAAUAAAUUUUCAUCCAUUUUAGUUGCGUCAAAGUUAAAUAUAUAUGUAGUACAUAGAUUUUCGUAAAAAACGAAGACAUUUUCUACUAAUUGUAAGCCAAAUACUGUCCAUCUCACUUAAUAAAGCUAUAUUAAACAGAAAAUUCGAUUAAAAGAAGAAAAAAGGAAAACGAACUAAAAUUUCAUCGUUCGCGAUCGAAUAUUAUGAAUGUUAGUCUACGAUAAUACCUAACGUCGUCUCGUAAAAUGUUCGCUUUUUAUUCCUAACGUCAGUAGUUAAUUACAAACAUUUCCUAAACAUCGAUCCUCUUUGGUUUACCAAACAUACUAUUCGACAUUUGUUUGUAUGUAUUUUAAGUAGUUCUCUACCUACUUACACACUUUAUCGAUAAACAGUGUGCAAAUAAAUUCAUUAAGUCUUAUAAUUUUUUGAAUAAUCAUAGAAUUCUAACGUAUCCAUUCCUCGAAUUUUUGAUUUUUUCUUCUUUUUUUCCUUUUUUAAUGAAUUAAAUCCUUAAACAUUUCAGGUAGUCCCAAAACUAAAUUUAUUAGGACCCUUUUGAUCCCUUCAUUUGUUUCAUUAUUACACGAGAAACCUAACCUUCUGAUUUAGGAAAUCGAUCUACGGAUAGUUUGAUUACUUAUCAUAGUUUUUAAUGACUCGAAUUCAUUAACCUUUGAGGAAUACUCGUUAUGCAUAUAUAUGUUUAUAUAUAUAUAUAUAAUAUAAUAUAUAUAUAUAUAAUAUAUAUAUAUGUAUGUAAUAUGUAUAUAAUAUAUAUAUGUAAUAUGAUAUAUAUAUAUAUCAAUAAAACUUAGAACACACAGAAUGACUUAAAUAUCUGUAACACGCAAAAUGCUAAAAAGUCAUGAAAAAUAAUCAAAUCCCAGAAGAUCAAGAAAAUCUCACGUUAAUUAUUUGAAAUGCAUCGGCACUUGAGAGAGAUUGACCUUUAAACCUUUAUGUAGGUACACACGUUAUGCGUAUGUUCACGGCAAGAUCUAUGGAUCUGCUUUUAACAGCAGACUCGAGAGAAAAAAAACAGAAAAGAACUUUUUCUUUAGUCUCGCGGCUGAACAAGACCGAGAAGAUCUGAGGGCGUUGGAUAUAUAUUUCAGAGAUAUAUCAGAAUGUUGGAAAGAAAAUAUUGUGCAAUGAAUACUAAACACUCUUUUUCCCAUCGGUAUGGUUAUCAGUCCAUUCAGGUACCUUUGACGUUGAAAACAUACACAUACACACAUGCGCGCUCGCUCGCUCGCUCAUUCGCGCGCGCGCGCGCGCGCAAUCACAUUCCCUUGCACACGUAGGCAUGCACGCAUAAACUUCACAUGACACGCGCGUGCGCGCGCACGCAACGGAGGGGCAGAGGGAAUGAACUCAUUUUUACCCCUUCCUUUAACCGAACCUCCUCCCAAUGGUCCAAUCAGAACUUCAAAACAUUAUAUUCAUCAACGUCUGUUUUUGUUCUAUCGAAUUUUCGAGAUUCACUUCUUGUUUAGGUGUGAGAUAUAUAGUGACGAAGUAAAGUAUCGGUCGUGCUCGAUCACGAACAACGAAAAAUAAUCAAACGGGCAAAACGAAUGCCCGGUCAAGUCAUUUCCAAAUUUAAAUGCAAUCUUUGUAUCAUAUAUGUACAUACUGAAAAAUUAAACUACAUUUAUAUCUUUCUAUAUCUUGUAUAUAUAAUUAUUUGUAACGUUGAAGAACAGAAAAGAAUAUGUAAUAAAGAGGAAAGUUAAAAGUGUAACAAACAAACAAAUAAACAGAAAAUUGUUACGA